rnacentral:rRNA from 1 species
GACGAACGCUGGCGGCGUGCUUAACACAUGCAAGUCGAACGGAAAGGCCCUGCUUUUGUGGGGUGCUCGAGUGGCGAACGGGUGAGUAACACGUGAGUAACCUGCCCUUGACUUUGGGAUAACUUCAGGAAACUGGGGCUAACACCGGAUAGGAGCUCCUGCUGCAUGGUGGGGGUUGGAAAGUUUCGGCGGUUGGGGAUGGACUCGCGGCUUAUCAGCUUGUUGGUGGGGUAGUGGCUUACCAAGGCUUUGACGGGUAGCCGGCCUGAGAGGGUAGACGGCUGCAUUAGGCCUGCGAUACGGCCCAGAAUCGAACGGGAGGCAGCAGUGGGGAAUAUUGCACAAUGGGCGGAAGCCUGAGGCAGCAACGCCGCGUGCGGGAUGACGGCCUUCGGGUUGUAAACCGCUUUCGCCUGUGACGAAGCGUGAGUGACGGUAAUGGGUAAAGAAGCACCGGCUAACUACGUG